CCGCACUCGCACGUCCCACCUCCUCCCCCUCUCUCGAUCUCCUUUGCGAACCCUAGCCCCACGCUCGCACGCUCCCUGUCGCGCCGCCGCCUCCGCCUCUGCUCGCCGUCGGGCCGUUUCCUUCUUCCCCGAGGGCGGCGAGCCGGAGCUGCCCCUGCGCGUUGUCGACCACCUCCUCGCUGGCUGGACGCCGUCGACUACGAAGCCGGUCUUCUCUAAGUGCGUGCCGCCGUAUGGGUCGCCGAGACGCCGAGGCCGAGGUGGAGCUCCAGACCAUCGAGGCCAUGUACGCCGCUGAGUCCACCAGGCACCGCCACCUCCCCGACUGGUCCAAGACACCAGCCCCCGCCCCCGUUCGCCCACGGCCCAACCCAGUCCCCGCGGCUGCGUGUGCCUCCUCGCCGUCGUGGGUCCUCUCGCCCCCCACUUGCCAAGGUGCGGCUCCCCCUCUUUUGCCUCUCAUGUUCUACUCCAAAAUGCUUCUUUUGUCUAUCUUGAAGCUUCAGUGAUGCUGCCAAAUUUAGUCUAUCUUGAAGCUUGGGAACAUUCAAAUUUAGUCUAACUUUUGAGUAGCAAGUUCCCUGAUUUUUUUUUUUGAAGCUUCAGUUUUGCAUCUCAAGUCUGAUCGAAAUGCACAAGACAUUCAAAUCACUGAAUGAAUGCCUAAAAAGAGGAAAAAGGCAGCAAGGAGGGAGAGGAUAUUUUUGUAUCUCAGGUCUGAAUGAGAUGCACAUUAUAAUGUCAAUAUGUCAUCAGAUUAAUUGGUUUCUUGGGGGUCCUAAUGAGUUUUAUGAGAAAAACUAGCUUAAAUGGCAGCAAGUUUUGAAUACAGUGUAUGUUCUAUAGCUUCUUUAACAAGAUCACCGAAUACAGUUUUUUGGGGUCCUUGUAUUGUUUAUCAUGUUUAUCACUGCAAGUUCAUGAUCCAAUAGUUAAGAGUAAGUCUAAGAUCAUUUGGUCACAGAAAUUUGAUCUUGACUGAACAUCAACUUGACAGAUCAAAACCUGGCAGAAAUUGACAGGUUCUGAGCAUCAACUUGACUGAACAAAGAUCUUGAUUGAAAGAACUUGUGCUUGGUCCUAUGCAUCUACAGUUUUGUUAAUAGAUCUUUUUUGUAUCUUUCAUUCUGUCUUGAUCUUGACUGAGUAAAUUUUCAGUGUGAGUACCAGCUACUCACCCAUGUUCUUCUCUAUAAUCAAGUGUUCCCGGGGAAGCCUAGUAAUGGCCAAUUCAUCUCAAAAUAAUGCAAACCCUUGCAAACUGCUCAGGUAGCUAUUGCUCCUAAUCAAAUGACAAUUUAUCCUUUGAACUUGUUCACAAAUGCAACUCUGGUCGCUGGCUUCUACAUAUGGACCAUGUGGAGUACUCUGUAUAUUCAACAUAGUGAUUUUCUUUUGCUUAUUUGAUUUUUGGAUUAAUUUGUAUAUUCAACAUAUAUUGUGGAAAUCUUGAAUUUUAUUGAAACCUCUAUACUUGCUUGAACUGAUGUUCAGGAAGUAGCUGAGCACACCUAUGUCAUCGGUUGUAAAUAGCUGGACUAAAGGAUCUAUGCACAUAUCUGCACCCCAAGUGCAGGUUUAUUGCUGGAGUGUGGAAUAGUUUGAGCACGACAGUCAAGAUGCAGGAUAUAGAAUCAAACUCAUUUCUUUAUUGCAGACCUUUUUGGGCGUUUCUCGGAAAAUUAUACGACUCUUCAUUAGGGUCAUGAUGAAUGCCUGCUUUUCAAGUUUUCAUGUGGAUCUGCUACUGAUCAGGGUCUGGUGAAAGGCAAGGACAAAUGGCUUGUUUUGUCCAGUCCAUGGUGGGCAAGGUCUUUGUCUCUGGGUUGCGAGAAUAUCUUUGACCGUCCAUAAUCUCUGGUCAGCUGCAUACAUCAUAUUCUUAUAAUAUCAUAUGUGAUUUCCAGUGGUGUUGUGUAAAAAGACUGCUUGUUAUAGCUUCAGUUUGGCCUGGUUCAGUUUGGUUGCUCAUGUUCAUGUGUGUCUUCACCUCAGAAAAAUUAGAAGGAAAUCAAAUUAUCUUUUGGCCCGCUUCUCAUUUU